rnacentral:rRNA from 1 species
CGCGACUCAAAGAAAGGAGGACUGCUGAAAUGCUAGUCUGCAGAAGCAGGCAACACUAUCAAAUUGCGGGAACACCCUAAAGACCUCAACACCAAGCGUCAUGGGAAACCAUGGCGUGGCCGAGCUAAUAGCCCUGGGUAUGGUAACAGCUUGAAGGUAUGAAGCCUUCGCAAGGAGGCCGAAAAUGGGCAAUCCGCAGCCAAGUCCUAACGUGCUCGAAACCGAGUGCCCAUGGAUGCUGUUCACAGGCCAAAUGGUAUCGGGUGACUUAUGGGAGUAAGUUAGAGUCGUUUGGAGUGUCGUGGGAUGUUAUUAUCUUUUUGAGUAAAAGUCGUAACAAGGUUUCCGUAGGUGAACCUGCGGAAGGAUCAUUACCUAGAGUUGUAGGCUUUGCCUGCUAUCUCUUACCCAUGUCUUUUGAGUACCUUACGUUUCCUCGGUGGGUUCGCCCACCGAUUGGACAAACUUAAACCCUUUGCAGUUGAAAUCAGCGUCUGAAAAAACUUAAUAGUUACAACUUUCAACAACGGAUCUCUUGGUUCUGGCAUCGAUGAAGAACGCAGCGAAAUGCGAUAAGUAGUGUGAAUUGCAGAAUUCAGUGAAUCAUCGAAUCUUUGAACGCACAUUGCGCCCCUUGGUAUUCCAUGGGGCAUGCCUGUUCGAGCGUCAUUUGUACCUUCAAGCUCUGCUUGGUGUUGGGUGUUUGUCUCCUGUAGACUCGCCUUAAAACAAUUGGCAGCCGGCGUAUUGAUUUCGGAGCGCAGUACAUCUCGCGCUUUGCACUCAUAACGACGACAUCCAAAAGUACAUUUUUACACUCUUGACCUCGGAUCAGGUAGGGAUACCCGCUGAACUUAAG